AGCAGUCGCCACGGUAAUACGAAGGGGGCUAGCGUUGUUCGGAUUUACUGGGCGUAAAGCGCACGUAGGCGGAUCGAUCAGUCAGGGGUGAAAUCCUGGAGCUCAACUCCAGAACUGCCUUUGAUACUGUCGAUCUCGAGUCCGGAAGAGGUGAGUGGAACUCCUAGUGUAGAGGUGGAAUUCGUAGAUAUUAGGAAGAACACCAGUGGCGAAGGCGGCUCACUGGUCCGGUACUGACGCUGAGGUGCGAAAGCGUGGGGAGCAAACAGGAUUAGAUACCCCUGUAGUCCCUGUCUCUUAUAC
rnacentral:rRNA from 1 species